rnacentral:sRNA from 1 species
CAAGUUUUACACAAUCUAUUUGACACACAAGUCCUUUGAUGCUAAGUCCUCUGUUUUCGG